rnacentral:misc_RNA from 1 species
CCAACCCAUUUCCCCUCCGGCCAAGUAGAGCCGGAUUCUACACUUUUUCCGGCAAUGCCAUUGCUAGUGGCAAAUGGGUUAUAUUGAGGUUCAUGUGUUUUUUUAGUGGCAUUAUUUUUCUUUGUCACUUGAAGAGAUGCCAUAUGACAUUUAUGUAGCUUUGCUGCAAGAGUUGCUGAGAGAAGCUUUGAAGAAGAUGAUUGCGGCUCAUUUGGGUUGCAUGGAAAAUUUGUGCGUGCUUUUGGCCCGCACAUUAAUCUAGCUGCCUCAUCGUAGGCUCUCGCCGCGUCCUCCGCCGUUUCGAAUGUGCCUAGCCAAAUUCUAGUCUUCAGUAGAGGAUGGCGGAUUUCCGACACCCAAGAGCCCCAAUGCCUUUGACGGACACCGCGGUAUCGCUGUUGCUGUCUAGCCAUGGUGGAGAGAUAUCAAUCAAUGUGUUUGUGAAAUGUUCAGAGAGAAGAAGCCAAGGAGGAGAGGC